GAUAAACGCUGGCGGCGCACAUAAGACAUGCAAGUCGAACGGAAGUCGUUACGAAACGGAGUGAAGAUUUAUCUGAAUGAAGUUUUGUAACAAUGGCUUUAGUGGCGGACUGGUGAGUAACACGUAAGCAACCUGCCUAUUAGAGGGGAAUAACAAUGAGAAAUCAUUGCUAAUACCCGCAUAAGCUUGUAGUAUCGCAUGGUACAGCAAGAAAAGAAGUAAUCCGCUAAUAGAUGGGCUUGCGGCUCGAUUAGCUAGUUGGUGAGGUAACGGCUCACCAAGGCGACGAUCAGUAGCCGACCUGAGAGGGUGACCGGCCACAUUGGGACUGAGACACGGCCCAA
rnacentral:rRNA from 1 species